UCGGAUUGAGACCCUGAGCGCGCACGUGCGGCAGGGCAGGGUCUGGGCUCUCGCCCACCUCGCUGCCCGCAACUGCAGAAGUGAGACCUCCCAGUGAGGCUGAAGCUCUACGUGGGCCUUGUGGUGGGCUCCCGAGGAACAUUAAGCGAGAAUGCGCCAGGCAGAAUAGAAAUCCUUUCCAUGUCGUAUCCAUCCACUUGGGAGGGAGUCAACCCUGUGCCCAGUUCCCCAGACUUUCAUAGGGACCGCACCUGGAGAAGGCUCUCUGCUAUGGCCUGGGAGAGCAGUGGAAGAUGGCCCACGUCCUUGGGACUCUGCACCCGCAUGAGAGACCUGAAAGAAGCUCCUGGUUCCUGGGCUUCAGAUCGGCUCAGCUUGGCCGUUGCAGCCAUCUGGGGAGUGAACCAGCGGAUGGAAGACCUCUCUCUCUGCUCUACCUCUUUGUAACUCUGCAUUUCAAAUAACUAAAUAAAUCUUUAAAAAAAGGUUAAUUUAAACAAAGAGAGUAAGGUUUUCAAAAUAGAUGUUGUUAAUUAGAAAUUAUCGGAGGUCAUUGUUUUGGACAGAGCUCCUGCACUGGGUCACAAGUCACAAAGCAUCAUUCCUGCUAGAGGUCCAGGUCACCAGCCUAAAACUAAGCUGUUUAUCUCCCAGGAACCAGGAGAAGUGAGAGGUUACAGCCAAACGGCUGUGAUAAUAAAGUUUCCUCUGCCUUUAAUCCUUAGAUCCUUUAAUCUUUUAAUACUUCAAGAAGUAACUGGAGGGGCCGGUGCUGUGGCGCAGCCCAGUGGGUUAAAGCCCAGGGCAUCAGUUCAAUGCCGGGCUGCUCCACUUCUGAUCCAGCUGCCUGCUGUUACGCCUGAGAAAGCAGUGGAGGAUGAUCCAAGUCCUUGACCUCCUGCACCCAUGUGGGAAGAAGCUCCUGGCUGCUGGUUCCUUGCUUCGGAUCCGCUCAGCUCCAGUAGUUGUGGCCAUCUGGGGAGUGAACCAGCAGAUGGAAGAUCUCUCUCUUUCUGUUUCGACCUCUCUAACUCUGUCUUCCAAAUAAAUCUUUUUUUUUCUUAAAAAAAUAAAAAAGAAUUAGAGGGGCUGCCGCUGUGGCACAACAGGUUAAAGCCCUGGCAUGCAGUGCCAGCAUCCCAUAUGGGCACUGGUUCUAGUCUCGGCUGCUCCUCUUCCAAUCCAGCUCUCUGCUAUGGCCUGGGGAAGCAGUGGAAGAUGGCCCAAGUCCUUGGGCCCUGCACUCACGUGGGAGACCAGGAAGAAGCUCCUGACUCCUGGCUUCAGAUCGGCUCAGCUCUGGCCAUUGCGGCCAUCGGGAGUGAACCAGCAGAUGGAAGACCUCUCUCUGCCUCUCCUUUUUCUGUGUAACCUUUUAAAAAGAACUGGUAUUAUGAUAGGCUGAGCAAAAGAGAGGUUCAGAUGAAAGAAGAAAAAGUAGGUUGGUUUUUUUCAAUGUCACUUUCUGUGCAAGGUAAGGAAACAAUAGAAAAAUAACUAAUCGGUUAUCAUCAGAUUACUUCUAAUUCAUUUUUUAAAGAUUUAUUUAUUUAUUUGAAAGUCAGGG